CGAACGGUAACAGGAAGAAGCUUGCUUCUUUGCUGACGAGUGGCGGACGGGUGAGUAAUGUCUGGGAAACUGCCUGAUGGAGGGGGAUAACUACUGGAAACGGUAGCUAAUACCGCAUAACGUCGCAAGACCAAAGAGGGGGACCUUCGGGCCUCUUGCCAUCGGAUGUGCCCAGAUGGGAUUAGCUAGUAGGUGGGGUAACGGCUCACCUAGGCGACGAUCCCUAGCUGGUCUGAGAGGAUGACCAGCCACACUGGAACUGAGACACGGUCCAGACUCCUACGGGAGGCAGCAGUGGGGAAUAUUGCACAAUGGGCGCAAGCCUGAUGCAGCCAUGCCGCGUGUAUGAAGAAGGCCUUCGGGUUGUAAAGUACUUUCAGCGGGGAGGAAGGGAGUAAAGUUAAUACCUUUGCUCAUUGACGUUACCCGCAGAAGAAGCACCGGCUAACUCCGUGCCAGCAGCCGCGGUAAUACGGAGGGUGCAAGCGUUAAUCGGAAUUACUGGGCGUAAAGCGCACGCAGGCGGUUUGUUAAGUCAGAUGUGAAAUCCCCGGGCUCAACCUGGGAACUGCAUCUGAUACUGGCAAGCUUGAGUCUCGUAGAGGGGGGUAGAAUUCCAGGUGUAGCGGUGAAAUGCGUAGAGAUCUGGAGGAAUACCGGUGGCGAAGGCGGCCCCCUGGACGAA
rnacentral:rRNA from 1 species